rnacentral:rRNA from 1 species
AUUGAACGCUGGCGGCAGGCCUAACACAUGCAAGUCGAACGAGUGGCGGACGGGUGAGUAAUGUCGGGGAAACUGCCUGAUGGAGGGGGAUAACUAAUGGAAACGGUAGCUAAUACCGCAUACCAUCGGAUGUGCCCAGAUGGGAUUAGAUAGUAGGUGGGGUAAAGGCUCACCUAGGCGACGAUCCCUAGCUGGUCUGAGAGGAUGACCAGCCACAAUGGAACUGAGGCACGGUCCAGACUACUACUGUAGGCAGCAGUGGGGAAUAUUGCACAAUGGGCGCAAGCCUGGUGCAGCCAUGCCGCGUGUAUGAAGAAGGCCUUCGGGUUGUAAAGUACUUUCAGCGGGGAGGCUUUACCCGCAGAAGAAGCACCGGCUAACUCCGUGCCAGCAGCCGCGGUAAUAC